rnacentral:rRNA from 1 species
AAUAUAUAGAUAAUGUGCCUCUUAGUCUGGGAUAGCCAUUGGAAACGAUGAUUAAUACUAGAUACUCCUUCUAACUCUAAUGUUAGUUGGGAAAGUUUUUUCGCUAAGAGAUCAGUCUAUAUCCCAUCAGCUUGUUGGUAGUGUAAGAGACUACCAAGGCAAUGACGGGUAGCGGGUUUGAGAGGAUGAUCCGCCACACUGGUACUGAGACACGGACCAG